rnacentral:siRNA from 1 species
CUGGCAUGUUAAGAUCUCUUAGAU